UGACCUCAAAUCAGGUAGGACUACCCGCUGAACUUAAGCAUAUCAAUAAGCGGAGGAAAAGAAACUAACAAGGAUUCCCCUAGUAACUGCGAGUGAAGAGGGAAAAGCUCAAAUUUAAAAUCUGGCAGUUUCACUGUCCGAGUUGUAAUUAGAGAAG
rnacentral:rRNA from 2 species